GCCCAGGUGGUGGAAUGGUAGACACGGGGGACUCAAAAUCCCCUGUCUUCACAGACGUGCGGGUUCAAGUCCCGCCCUGGGCACCA
rnacentral:tRNA from 1 species